AUGGGCAGCUGGAUUGGAUGGUUU
rnacentral:siRNA from 1 species